CUCAGAAAGAGGUUUGCGCCCGACUCUCACCAUAAAGUGUUACGUUCUUCAGCGACAUGACAAGGAAGUGAACUUGCUAGAUCUGGCAAUACAGAAUCAGUCAGCGGUAUAACCACCAUGUAGGCACUGUCUGAAAUGGCCUCCAGGCUCAGUCUUUCCCACCAGCCCACUGGAAAGGGAAAAGCAGCUUUUGACACAUGGCUAAACUGCCUAGCAAUGAUAGCUGCCAUAAUACACUCCCCAUCUUGUGGAGAUCCAGAGAGGAUACGGGAAAGUCACAGAAAAAUAGCAAAAUAUAACAUCUGGCAACUAGGUGGUGCUGAAAAUCUACCGAUGGGUAAAAAAAUGCAAAAGUUGGGGGAAAAGAAGAAGAAAAACAUUUGCACAAAAGAGAGGUACGGAAUUGGUCGGUGAAUUCUGUCCCAGAAGUGUGAGACCAAAGCGGUAAGACACAGUCAUUUGCUACAAGCAGCUGCCACCACCUCAAAGAUCCUUGAUCUAUAUGAACAACUUUUGAGCAGAACUGUGGCUCUGGUUUUGCUAUUCAUUGUCCUCAUUUUGUGCAGCAGUAUUAGGCUUCCUUUGUGUAGUUUUCUGUGGACUAGCAACUGCCCGGUGCCUAACAUGGCUUACUUUGUUUCAGCAGGUCUGAGCAUAUCUGAAAAUAAACUAUAUCAAAUUAGAA